UGGGGAAUUUUGGACAAUGGGCGAAAGCCUGAUCCAGCAAUGCCGCGUGAGUGAAGAAGGCCUUCGGGUUGUAAAGCUCUUUUGUCAGGGAAGAAACGGUGAGAGCUAAUAUCUCUUGCUAAUGACGGUACCUGAAGAAUAAGCACCGGCUAACUACGUGCCAGCAGCCGCGGUAAUACGUAGGGUGCAAGCGUUAAUCGGAAUUACUGGGCGUAAAGCGUGCGCAGGCGGUUUUGUAAGUCUGAUGUGAAAUCCCCGGGCUCAACCUGGGAAUUGCAUUGGAGACUGCAAGGCUAGAAUCUGGCAGAGGGGGGUAGAAUUCCACGUGUAGCAGUGAAAUGCGUAGAUAUGUGGAGGAACACCGAUGGCGAAGGCAGCCCCCUGGGUCAAGAUUGACGCUCAUGCACGAAAGCGUGGGGAGCAAACA
rnacentral:rRNA from 2 species